UGGAUCUGAGAGGGGUAGGGUGGCUCUAGCCCCCACCCAAAAAGUUGGAUUGGAGCCAAAGGAGGAAGAUGUGGAGAAGAGGAAAAAGUUAGGAAAAAAAGAAAAAGGUGGAGAUGGAUGAGGAAGAAGAAGCAAGCCCCUAAGAUUUAAUCAUGCCUCAGCCAUUGCUUUGUUUCCAUGAUGAAAUGGACAAGUUUAAAUUACUAAAAUUCGCACUUACAGGUUAUGUUUAUUGCCAUGUCAUCUCUCUGCGUGAACCCCAAGUUGAGUCGGCAAAGGUUCUUUUUUCUUUCUCCCACUUACGUGUGGGCCUACAUACUACUGAGGAAGGUUAGCUGACGAGGACAUUACAAACUUGCAAAGCCUUAAGCACCUUCAAGAUGUAAGUUUUUUUCAUUUGGCUUUUACUACUGCAAAACAG
rnacentral:lncRNA from 1 species